rnacentral:rRNA from 1 species
ACGGAGGAUCCGAGCGUUAUCCGGAUUUAUUGGGUUUAAAGGGUGCGUAGGCUGGUUUUUAAGUCAGCUGUGAAAUACCGACGCUUACCGUCGGCACUGCAGUUGAAACUGGGGGACUUGAGAGCAAAAGAGGCAUGCGGAAUUCAUGGUGUAGCGGUGAAAUGCAUAGAUAUCAUGAAGAACCCCGAUUGCGAAGGCAGGAUGCUGGGGUAUAACUGACGCUGAGUCACGAAAGUGUGGGUAUCAAACAG